rnacentral:rRNA from 1 species
GAUGAACGCUGGCGGCGUGCCUAACACAUGCAAGUCGAGCGAUUUACGUCGGUAAAGAGCGGCGGACGGGUGAGUAACGCGUGGGUAACCUGGCCUGUACACACGGAUAGCAUACCGAAAGGUAUGCUAAUACGAGAUAAUAUACUUUUAUCGCAUGGUAGAAGUAUCAAAGCUGUUGCGGUACAGGAUGGACCCGCGUCUGAUUAGCUAGUGGGUAAGGUAAGGGCUUACCAAGGCGACGAUCAGUAGCCGACCUGAGAGGGUGAUCGGCCACAUCGGAGCUGAGACACAGUCCAAACUCCUACGGGAGGCAGCAGUGGGGAAUAUUGCACAAUGGGCGAAAGCCUGAUGCAGCAACGCCUCGUGAGCGAUGAAGGCCUUCGGGUCGUAAAGCUCUGUCCUCAAGGAAGAUAAUGACGGUACUUGAGGAGGAAGCCCCGGCUAACUACGUGCCAGCCGCCGCCGUAA